GUCUUUUUGUAAUAUAUUUAAAGUCUAACCUGCCCACUGAAAAAUUUAAAGGGCCGCGGUAUUUUGACCGUGCAAAGGUAGCAUAAUCAUUAGUCUUUUAAUUGAAGGCUUGUAUGAAUGGUUGAACGUAGUAUUAGCUGUCUCAUAAAAAAUUAAAAUAGAAUUUAACUUUUUAAUUAAAAGGUUAAAAUAAUUUUAAAAGACGAGAAGACCCUAUAGAGCUUUAUAAUAGUUUUAUAUAAUUUAUUUAGAAAAAUUAAAAUAAUAUUUGAUCUAUUAUUUUGUUGGGGUGACAAUAAAAUUUAAUAAACUUUUAUUAAUUAUAAACAUUAAUUUAUGAAUAAUUGAUCCAGUUAUAUUGAUUAUAAAAUUAAGUUACCUUAGGGAUAACAGCGUAAUUUUUUUUAAGAGUUCAUAUCGACAAAAAAGAUUGCGACCUCGAUGUUGGAUUAAGGGUUAUUUUUGGGUGUAGAAGUUCAAAGUUUAGGUCUGUUCGACCUUUGAAUCCUUACAU
rnacentral:rRNA from 1 species